rnacentral:rRNA from 1 species
GACGUAGGGCGCGAGCGUUGUCCGGAUUUAUUGGGCGUAAAGAGCUCGUAGGCGGCUUGUUGCGUCGUCCGUGAAAACCUGUGGCUUAACUACAGGCUUGCGGUCGAUACGGGCGGGCUGGAGUUCGGUAGGGGAGACUGGAAUUCCUGGUGUAGCGGUGAAAUGCGCAGAUAUCAGGAGGAACACCGGUGGCGAAGGCGGCAUCCUGGACCGACAUUGACGCUGAGGAGCGAAAGCUAGGGGAGCAAACGGG